CGAUUCACCUGUGAACUCGGUUUGAGCAAAACGUGUGCUAGAAAGCUGCCUGGCUCUUUGGUUCCGGCGGGAUCUCUCUCUCUCUCUCUCCCCUCCCGAGCCAGAUCCGCUGCUUCACUAAGAGGACUCUACAAGCGGCCGUGACAAAGAAGUGUGACAAUUGUUUUGGGACAAUAGUGCUGGAUACAUGAUUUAUGUUCAUGAGGAUUCAUAUUAUUCUGCAUCGGACUACAAUGGAGAAUCUUCAUGAUAAAAGUUUGAGGCAUGAGGAACGAAGGGCAAAACGUUUGCCCAGCUUGUCUCUAAGGCAUUCUUGCCAUCUUUUGUGAUUCCUGCAACAAUGCCUUCCCUUCAUCAGAGACAAGAGCAACAGCAGCCUUUAGCAGAUCCAUUUCCAAUUUCACCUCAUCAAAUAAAUACUAGUCAACGAUCUUCCCCUUUCUUCAGUACUGUUGGCUUCUUUAUCACAUUGUUAUCCCUUAUUAUUUUACUUGGGAUUUUCUAUCCAUGGUUUGGUUAUUCAGGAAGCCUAUUUCCCUCAAGUGAUGGGUCUCUUUCAAAAUGGAGAGAUUAUACCUUAGCUGAAGCUGCUGCGUUUGUGGCAAAGGAUGGCACCGUUAGAGUUUGUGUAGUUAGUCAGCCAUAUCUACCCUUUUUAAAUAACUGGUUGAUCAGCAUUACUAGACAGAAAAAAUUUAUGUAACACUUUACCAGGUGAACGAGAAAUGGCCAGGACAUGCUGUCCUGAUCCCUCCUGCCCCAGACACUCAGACAGCUCACAAAUUUGGAUCACAGGAUAACCUUCAUGAGCCAAUCUGCAGGUGAAAUCUUUGAAUCAUCCUCACACUUUGCCAGUUCCUGGAAAGAAAGGGCACACUUAUAUUUGUAGCUGGAUGAUAUUCUUGCCUUCUACAAAUGGAGCUAAAAGACUUAUGGAGAAAUGGAUUGAAGAACUCCAAACCCAGCCAUGAUCUAGCAAAACAAGCUAAUGACCACCCUGCCUUUAACUGCGCUUGGAACAAAACAGCUGGCAGGUGGACAUGUACCUACUCUCACAAGCUGGAUUCCCAUUAGGUGGCCUAUAUUUCAAGAACCAGACUUGGGUUCAGGAAACCAAAGGGAUGCAUGUCAUUAUUCACAGUAACUACAUAACUGGCUUUGAAAAGAAGAUUAAGCGGUUUCAAGAAUAUUGUCUGUGGUUGUUGGACGAUUAUGCAAAUGAAUCAUCAUUGGGCAGAACAUGAUAAGAAACCUUGAGCUUAAUUUUUCUGGCAUCAAUACUUGCUGCUGCAGGGUAGCGAACCCAUCAUGAAGAUCUCUUAGAACAGAACGUUCUAUUGAUUAUGGGUCUUUAUUGCCUCGACCAUUUUUAACAGACCUGUGCAGUGCCGUAGCCCCAUCCAGUUCCAGUUACCUGCUAAGCUUGAUUCCCCAGACACCAAUGAUCGAUUCAAAUGUUGUAAAUUUUGCCUGGAAUGUGUUCUAUGCAUUCCUUUUGAGUUGAAUGUUAUGCACUGUUUGGAUGGAGGGAAAGAGAUGAAAAGGAAUGGAGGGAAAGGAAAACGGAAGGGAAUGGGGAGAGAAAGGAGAACGGAAGGGAAUGGGGAGAGAAAGGAGGUUAAUUUCUCCAUUUUAGAGGGAAUGGAAUUACAUUAAAAGUCAUUUCCUUUCUCUCCCUUUCCUUUGCACCCAAACACAGUUAUUAGUUCUUUCUUUUUCCUUUCUAUUAAUUAGUCAUCCAAACACAGGAAAGACUUUUCUUUUCAUUCAUUUCUCUCCCUCUCCCACCAUCCAAACAGGCUGUUAUAAUGA